rnacentral:lncRNA from 1 species
AUGAAUAAGGACAGUUAUAAGGACAAUACAAGUAUUGUAGGUAACAAAAAAAAACUACAUUGUUAUAAUAAUUAUUGUGGUGAUAUUCUUCAUAGUAUUAAUUCGAAAAUAUAUAUUCAUGAAGUAAACAAUAAUGAUUUUACAAAAGGUGCUUUUAUAGAUACGAAUUUUUAUAUUAGUGACAUAAAAGUAAUAAAAAAUUUUAUUAUAGUAGCAGAUUUGUAUAAAGGUAUUUAUAUAAAUAUGUAUAAUUAUGAACACCACUAUGAUAGUCGUAGUAUAAUACCAAUUUCUAAAAUUGUUUAUAAUAAUAAUUUAAAUAUUUUAUGUUGUCAUUACAUUGUUUUUGAGUCUUUUAUUUCUAUUAUUGCAAUGGAUAUAUACAAUAACAUAUUAAUAUUUUCACAUAAAAAUAAUAAAGAUAUCGAUCACUUAUUCAUAUUUAAUUAUUUUAAUUUUAAUAAAAGAGUUCUUAAAUUUAUUAAUGUACCACAUGAAAAUCAAAAAUCAAAUUCAGUUUAUCACUUGCGAAUGAUGGUAGUAUUUAUUUAUUUCAACCUGUACAUAAUAAAACUUUUAUUUUUUUUUAAAGAAAUUUAUAAAAUUGUAAAAAAAUAUAUUUUCCCUAAUUUAGCCAUGAAUGUUUACGCUGAUUUGAAGCCGGACAUUUUUGUUCAGUCAAUUGUGUUAAACUUGUACAAAAAAAAUAAUACUUUUUUGUUAAAAAAUAUUCUUUUUUAUGACUUGUUAAGACAACUCCCUUUUUAUUCCUCUGAAGUUUUAUAUGAACUGUUUUCCAAAAAAUCUAAUUUACUCCAACAUAUUACAAUAGUAAUAAAAAAUAAAAUAUAUAUAUAUAUAUAUAUAUAUAUAUAUAUUUACAUUUGCACAUAUUUAUACAUGCACGUGUUCAUUCAUAUAUCACAAAAAAUACUUGUAUUGGUUCACCUGGAAAGGUAUUAUAACAUUUUUGUUAAUCACUUCAUAUGUAUAUGUAAUGUUCAUGCAAAAAAAAAAAAAAAAAAAAAAAAAAAUACUUGUUUAUAUUAUUUUGCAAUCCUUGUAAUUUAUUUUAUUUAUUAUUUUUUUUCUUUUUAUUAGGGAGAUCUUUUAUAUGAGUUAGAUUAUAUGGACGAAAAAUAAUUUUUUUUUUUUUUUUUUUUUUGAAUUUAACUCUUAAAAGCAUUACUAUUCAAUAUAUGAGUUUUUUUACUUAAUGUUUAUAUGUUUAUUUAUUUUAUUUUAUUUUUUUCCAUUUUAAAGAUUUAAAACGUUUUAAGUGAAAAAAAAAAAAAAAAAAAAAAAAAUUAAAAUUAUAAAAUAAAAAUAUAUUUAAAGCACA